CUGCGAAUGGCUCAUUAUAUAAGUUAUCGUUUAUUUGAUAGUACCUUACUACUUGGAUAACCGUGGUAAUUCUAGAGCUAAUACAUGCUAAAAAUCCCGACUUCGGAAGGGAUGUAUUUAUUAGAUUAAAAACCAAUGCCCUUCGGGGCUCACUGGUGAUUCAUGAUAACUCCUCGAAUCGCAUGGCCUUGUGCCGGCGAUGGUUCAUUCAAAUUUCUUCCCUAUCAACUUUCGAUGUUUGGGUAUUGGCCAAACAUGGUUGCAACGGGUAACGGAGGGUUAGGGCUCGACCCCGGAGAAGGAGCCUGAGAAACGGCUACUACAUCCAAGGAAGGCAGCAGGCGCGCAAAUUACCCAAUCCCGACACGGGGAGGUAGUGACAAUAAAUACUGAUACAGGGCUCUUUUGGGUCUUGUAAUUGGAAUGAGUACAAUUUAAAUCCCUUAACGAGGAACAAUUGGAGGGCAAGUCUGGUGCCAGCAGCCGCGGUAAUUCCAGCUCCAAUAGCGUAUAUUAAAGUUGUUGUGGUUAAAAAGCUCGUAGUUGAACCUUGGGCCUGGCUGGCCGGUCCGCCUCACCGCGUGUACUGGUCCGGCCGGGCCUUUCCCUCUGUGGAACCCCAUGCCCUUCACUGGGUGUGGCGGGGAAACAGGACUUUUACUGUGAAAAAAUUAGAGUGCUCCAGGCAGGCCUAUGCUCGAAUACAUUAGCAUGGAAUAAUAGAAUAGGACGUGUGGUUCUAUUUUGUUGGUUUCUAGGACCGCCGUAAUGAUUAAUAGGGACAGUCGGGGGCAUCAGUAUUCAAUUGUCAGAGGUGAAAUUCUUGGAUUUAUUGAAGACUAACUACUGCGAAAGCAUUUGCCAAGGAUGUUUUCAUUAAUCAGGAACGAAAGUUAGGGGAUCGAAGACGAUCAGAUACCGUCGUAGUCUUAACCAUAAACUAUGCCGACUAGGGAUCGGACGGUGUUAUUUUUUGACCCGUUCGGCACCUUACGAGAAAUCAAAGUGCUUGGGCUCCAGGGGGAAUAUGGUCGCAAGGCUGAAACU
rnacentral:rRNA from 1 species